rnacentral:tRNA from 1 species
CAUUUUGUAACUAAAUAAUAAGUCCAGAUCUUUUAAAUCUGUAAUAGUAUAAAAUACUCAAAAUGA